CCUUCCUCUCUCUCUCUCUCUCUCUCUCUCUCUCUCUCUCUCUCUCUAAACAGCAUCUGUACAUUUAAUCCUUAUUGCAGUGGUUGCAGCUGUUGUGGUUGUUUUCAUCCUGGUUCUGGUCAUUCUGCAGAUUGUGAGGAUGAACAACUGCACCUCAAGGUUAUAUGAAAAUAACCCAGGUGAAGACAGGCAGCAUGCCAUUGAUGACCCAAAUGGUCCAUACACAGCAUUAAACCUCAGGACCAGAUCCCCAGAGUAUGACACCCUGUUUAAUGUAAGGAACCCUUGCAGUGAGAAUGGACCACAUUCAGAUUAUGAGAACAUAUGAAAUAUAGAAACUGGACAAAGAAAUUCAGGAUGAGAAGUUGAAGUGCACCACGGAUCUGCACUCAGAUGCUCAGAGCUUUGAUUGUUUUUUUUUUUGUGUUUGUGCUCAUCGAUACUUUAAAAAAUGUUCACUGCCCAGGAAGAAUGACUUUUGAGCUGAUAAGAAAAAGGCAGAGCAGGUCACAUGAGUUGUUCAUUUUCAUAUGAAUGUUUCCAAGAAAUUGAAAUAUCUUUUUUCUCACCCAAAUAAUGGAGUAAAUAUGUAGUUACAAGUUCAAACAUUAAUACAAAUUAUAAAUGUGUAUUAUGUCCACUGUCCCAACUUCUGAUCAGUGGGCUGCUCCAUGAUGAGCAAUCAUAACAUACAAAAACAAAUCUGAAUAGAAAAGGUUCAAAGUCAAAUGUGGCACUUCAUGUAUCUGGGAAAACUCAGGGAAUCAGCAGUUCCCUUCCAUGAAGAUCUCUGGAGAUGUAACCUUGAGAUUUCCAUGUAUCAUUAAUCCAAAAGGUCCCAAAAGGUUCCUCAAACAAUUCUCUGUUCUUCUGGCUGUUCUCCAUGCUUAGGGUUAAUUCAACUUUUCUACAUUUUAACUACCUUCAAGUGUGAUCGCUAUAUUGUCAGGACCUGUUUCUUGCCACAUGUGAGUUUAGAUGAGCAUCAUACGAAUGAAAUAAAUUGACAUAUCUGUGAG
rnacentral:lncRNA from 1 species